AUGGAGAGCACAGGGGUAGCGAGACGGACGUCGACGGUGCAGGAGCUCGCCAGCGCCCUCGGCAAACCAGACGUGCCGGCCCAGUACGUCUCACGCGGACACCACGAAAACGACCAGCAGCCCGCCGCGGUGCCGGUCCCUGUCAUCGACAUCGGCCGCCUUUUCAACCAGGACGGCGCCGCCGCAGCUGACGACGAGGCGGCGAAGCUCCGGCAGGCGCUCGAGUCGUGGGGCCUCUUCCUGGUGACUAACCACGGCGUGGACACCUCGGUGAUGGACGGCAUGAUGGUCGCGUCGAGGGAGUUCUUCCGGCAGCCACCCGAAGAGAAGCAGAGAUACACCAACCUCAUCGGCGGCGAGCGGUUCCAGCUCGAGGGGUAUGGGACCGACCGGGUGAACUCAUCGGAACAGAUCCUGGACUGGUCAGACCGCCUCUACCUCAAGGUGGAGCCCGAAGACGAGCGCAGCCUCGCCCUCUGGCCAGCCCAUCCCCAAACCUUCAGGAAUCUUCUGCACGAGUUCACCACGAAAUGUAGGGUGGUGAAGGACGGACUGGUCCGGGCAAUGGCGAGGCUGCUCGAGCUCGACAACGACUAUAUCAUUGAACAGUUUGGGGAGAAGGCUGACACUUACGCUAGAUUCAGCUACUACCCGGAGUGCCCAAGGCCAGAGCUCGUGUUCGGCCUCAAGCCCCACUCCGAUGGGAGCGUUCUUACCGUGCUCAUGGUCGAUGACACCGUUGGUGGGCUGCAGAUUUUGAGAGACGGUGUUUGGUUCGAUGUACCGAUAGUUCCUCACACCCUGCUGAUCAACAUAGGAGACCAAACUGAGAUAAUGAGCAAUGGGAUCUUCAAAAGCCCCGUGCAUAGAGUUGUGACAAAUGCUGAGAAAGAAAGGCUAUCGCUGGCUCUAUUCUACUCGCUUGAUCCCGAGAGAGAAAUUGAGCCAGCGACUCAGCUGGUAGAUGGGAAGAGACCGGCGUUGUACAGAAAGGUCAAGGUGAAGGACUACAUUGCUGGACUCUUUGAACAUGUGUCGCAAGGAACGAUGGUUAUUGAUACAGUGAAGAUAUAA
rnacentral:rRNA from 1 species